UAUUGGUCUCUCUUGCUGCGGCGUCUUAUUAAGGUCGUGUCUGUUAUAGUUACUGUACAGGAGUGUUCCGGAUUAGACAUUAAUCUACUUCAUAAUAAUGGUGUUCAGCUUCCUGAAAUGAAAUGCCUCCUGGCGAGAUACAUUCCCGAUUUCCUGAAUAUAGAUUAUUGAAGAUCUACGUGAGCGAGUUGUGGAUCUGGGCAUGGAGGAAACACAACAAGGACUUUGGCACCAACCUUGCAUUUUCCACAGCAGCUAAGAGCCCUUGCCCACAUGCUGGAAUAUGAGGGCUUGAUUUCCAGCACACCGCUUCCAGUGAGCCAUAACAGGAAUCAUGGAGAAUUUACUGCACUGCUCAGGCUGCCAGCAUACAGGAUCCAAGUGGUCAUGAUCCUGCAGCUAAUUUUGAUUGAAAAAUUGCCGAAAUCAACAGUGUCCUAAGAACUUCUAGCAAAUUCUUAAAGAUCGCAUGCUGACCUGUUCCCAGUUGAACCCUCAUGAGUCAGAACAGCAAAGAAAUAUUCCCACUCCUAUGCCAAUUUACUCAGCUUCACAUAUUCAGGAGCUGAAAUGUGAUGCUUUGCCAGGAGUAUUUCACCCAACGCUUGGCAAACUGAAAUGCACAGAACCCUACCAGAUUACAUAGUGAAUUAGAGAGACUGGGACUGGAAAUGAACAUCUGUCAGCAAAACUUGAGAGACUUGAUACCAAAAGGAAAAAGAAAGUUGAGACAGGUUCAUUGAAUGAGAAAUUAGGCAAAUAAUAGUCCAUGCUGCACUCAUCUGAUUUCUGCAGCCUUGACUUUCUUCAAUACAGUCAAGGAAAGUGUUGUGGUUUUCUGUUCAAGUCAUAAUAAUCACCUCAUCUUUGCUUGUGGAGUUUCAACACAAGAUUGUCCUGGAGAACAAUGUUUUCACUGAAGGCAGGCCGAAUAGUUCAAAUGUGAUUGUUACCAGGAUGCAGGACACCAGAGUCCCCAGCAGCAGUUAUUCUAAAAGCGCAUAACCACCGCUGGACAGUCAGGGCAAGUUGCCCUGCAUGCAAAAAGGGAAUCCACAUACAGAGUUCACCUGCACAAGAUGAGGGCUACAGUAAGAAAAGUAGGGCUGCUCUCUCAUUAGAGAGAGAUGACCAGUGCUGGCUUUAACCUGAGUGUCACCAUGCAUCUGGCAAAGGAAGGGUUUGAGAAGAGUCCUUUCUGGUAACCUAUCACUGUGAGUGUCACUCUGCAUUGCAAACCUGCAAUUUAGCCAACUGAGCUAACCAACUUCAAAUGAGGGUAGAAAUGGCAUUAGUAAAGAGAGUUUGGCAAAGAUAUGAUCUGGUUUCUCUUCUUGACAAAACCACAGAAUUGCCAUAGUGCAGCUAUAUACAUUUCUGAUCAUCUGUAUUGUCACAUGCACAAAUUCCUCAUCCACCUUUCAGAGCUCUCGGCAGGAGGGAGUGAGCUUCCACCAUUGGCAGAUCUUUGGUGACCUACAAUUCUGUAUUAUGGAGAAGCCAUAACUUGCAUUGUGGUGCCUGCUGCAUACAUUCCUAUUGAGGUACCUCCUGACCAAGACCUAAAAUAGGGGCACGGCAACUGUAGAAAUGGCCAUAUGAAAACCUUGAUCCCUAAAUGCUAUUCAAGUCGUCAAGGAUGAUUAAACCAGGAAACAGCCAAUAUAAGAGCACAACACAUGUUGCAUGGGGAUUAUUCUCACAAAACAUCUAUAGCCAUGUGCUGACAUGAACAUUAUAGGGCUGAGGUUUUUCAGUCAUCAUGAGUCAACCAACCAAUAACACAUAGCAUCCCAAGAUUCAUGAAACAGCAGUACAGAAACAACGGACUACCGGUGCUGAGUGAGCUGAAACUCAAUAGCACCAGUAACAGCUGUUGUCUAGGCAGCAGACAGUUGCCCUGUCUUGCAGCAAGUUGACCUCAGUCACAUUACUGGAGGCAUGCAGCUAUUUAAUGAAAGGGGGAUUGUGGCUCAGCUGCUUCGUAUGGUUUUGUUUUAUAGUUUAUUCCGUUUGUAAUUUUAUAGUUUUUGAUUUAUUGUUUUUACAGUUCUCAUGUUUGCAGUUUCAUAGUUAUUGUUUGAAUAUUUUUAUAGAUGUUACGCUAGUUAGAUUUCUGCACUGUAUGAAAGGUUUAAUAAAUUCAAUUGCUUGCAUUAUUGUUGUGUGACUGUGGGAGCAACCUUACAAUGAUGCAUCAGAGCUUCUAGACAAGAAUUCAAUCAUAAGCAGUCCAAAUUGUGGUGGGUACAGAAUCUAGAAAACUGUUCAAGUAUAAUAACACAAAAGUUUCUCUCAAAACAGAACAUUUGUCAGAGCAUGUUGACUACUCAAAUCAUAAUAAUCAAUACGACAGUAUCUUGUCACAGAUGAGGUUCUAAAAUCCCACAUCAGCCAAGAGAAAACUACAGUCUUCUGCUAACAAUGAAUCUGUGGCAAAAGAGAUCACAUCUUAAAGAUGUGCUACAGUCUGAAGAACAAACCAAGCAACACAUCAAAAUUUUCCCAACACAACCUAAACAUUCAUGCUGCGGAACAAAAUCUUGAAGAAUAGGUCAGUUCUGGAAGAAAGCAAGCUUCUUAAAUGAAGAACAACGCAUGAAUGGGAUACUUUAUAUCUUCUUAAGGGAACUAACAACAGUAUCCAAUGCUAAUAACAGAACAAAAGAAGUAUAAGCACCUCAUCAUUCUCAUACACUCUUGCAAUUGCAUCACCAUCAGUUCUUUCAGCCAGAUUGAUUGAAUCUCCAAUACAUCAAAAGCCAGCGGAUGCAUGUUUGUCAGCUUUACCUUAAAUGUACUAAAUCUGGUUGUGGACUUCCUUGAUCUACCUAUUGAAAUGGACAAAUCAAAUUAAAGACUUGGGAAGUGGUAGGAUGGAUAAGGAAAAUAUGUACAGUAAAUGGGGCAGCAUGGUGGCUUAGUGGUUAGCACUGCUGCUU